rnacentral:rRNA from 1 species
AUUGAACGCUGGCGGCAGGCUUAACACAUGCAAGUCGAGCGGGGUGAUGGUGCUUGCACUAUCACUUAGCGGCGGACGGGUGAGUAAUGCUUAGGAAUCUGCCUAUUAGUGGGGGACAACAUCUCGAAAGGGAUGCUAAUACCGCAUACGUCCUACGGGAGAAAGCAGGGGAUCACUUGUGACCUUGCGCUAAUAGAUGAGCCUAAGUCGGAUUAGCUAGUUGGUGGGGUAAAGGCCUACCAAGGCGACGAUCUGUAGCGGGUCUGAGAGGAUGAUCCGCCACACUGGGACUGAGACACGGCCCAGACUCCUACGGGGAGGCAGCAGUGGGGAAUAUUGGACAAUGGGGGGAACCCUGAUCCAGCCAUGCCGCGUGUGUGAAGAAGGCCUUAUGGUUGUAAAGCACUUUAAGCGAGGAGGAGGCUCUUUUGGUCAAUACCCAAGAUGAGUGGACGUUACUCGCAGAAUAAGCACCGGCUAACUCUGUGCCAGCCGCCGCAGUAA